AACGCACAUUGCGCCCAUUGGUAUUCCAUUGGGCAUGUCUGUUUGAGCGUCAUUACAAACCCUUGACACCAGUCAGUGUUGAGCCGGCUUUCCGAACGAGAGUUCGCGCCGGCUUCAAAGUGGUACGCUUUGCCAACCGCCAUUCCAAGCCGAAACAUAGUAAUCAUAACGCUUGUUGAGGAUGGAUGGACUCCGGUUCGGCCUGAACAAAAUCCAACUUGUGGUUUGACCUCAGAUCAGACAAGGAUACCCGCUGAACUUAA
rnacentral:misc_RNA from 1 species